AACGAACGCUGGCGGCAGGCUUAACACAUGCAAGUCGAACGGUCUCUUCGGAGGCAGUGGCAGACGGGUGAGUAACGCGUGGGAAUCUACCUAGUUCUACGGAACAACAGAGGGAAACUUCUGCUAAUACCGUAUACGCCCUACGGGGAAAGAUUUAUCGGAAUUAGAUGAGCCCGCGUAAGAUUAGCUAGUUGGUGGGG
rnacentral:rRNA from 1 species